rnacentral:lncRNA from 1 species
UCUACUUCUCAUCAAGAUGAUUCUGUGCUCCUGGCUGAGCUGCGUUAUCACGUACAAACGUUUUCUCUGAACUGCUCAUCCAUUUUUUGGCAUAAGGCACAUAAACUUCCCUGCCAAAAAAGAAAUCGUGUAAGGCAUUUCAGAUACUUCUGACAAAAGUGGAUGGUGAUGGUAGUGCUUUUAAUCAUUAGCAAAGUGUCCAGAGCACUCAGUGAUACAGAGGAUGCAGACUUGAUGCCACUCUCGGGUUAUGGGAGCCAUGGUCUGAACACUGAAGGAAACGAGUUCCCUGCUCACUGGGCUACAAUAUAUUGAAAUAGAUGUGCUCUCAACCUCUCAGCCCAACACUGUUUUGCUCCAGAAGCCUGUUAUCCUAAUCACCAGGUAAUACCCAAAAGUGCUGUUCACAUACAGAGGGGAGCACAGUGUAAAAGUCUAUUGUAGAAUAAUGGAGGAGAAAAUCUACAAGGAGGUGCAGAGACAGCUCUACCCAGAGAGUCCAGCUAAUUCUACAGGCAGGCAGGAUGACAACCAGGGGAUGGCUCCAGAAAUUACUCCCAUAUUACGUCUUCAACUCCCUUGCUUCUCUACCUCCAGCAGCAGCAGCAGCAGAAAGUGAG